UACGUAGGGGGCUAGCGUUGUCCGGAAUCAUUGGGCGUAAAGAGCGUGUAGGCGGCCCGGUAAGUCCGCUGUAAAAGUCAAAGGCUCAACCUUUGAAUGUCAGUGGAUACUGCCGGGCUAGAGUCCGGAAGAGGCGAGUGGAACUCCUGGUGUAGCGGUGGAAUGCGCAGAUAUCGAGAGGAACACCUGCGGCGAAGGCGGGUUGCUGGGCUGACACUGACGCUGAGGCGCGAAAGCCAGGGGAGCAAACAGG
rnacentral:rRNA from 1 species